AUUUCGAUUAUAGUUUGAUCCUGGUCAUAUUGCUUUGAUAGAGAGGCAUGCCUUACACAUGCAAGUCGAACGGCAGCACGGGAGCUUGCUCCUGGUGGCGAGUGGCGAACUCUUCCGUCAAUUCCU
rnacentral:rRNA from 1 species